UUCAUGUGGAUCUCCGUGGGAUUGGU
rnacentral:sRNA from 1 species